UACGGGGGGGGUAAGCGUUGUUCGGAAUUACUGGGCGUAAAGGGCUCGUAGGCGGCCAACUAAGUCGGACGUGAAAUCCCUCAGCUUAACUGGGGAACUGCGUCCGAUACUGGAUGGCUUGGAUUUGGGAGAGGGAUGCGGAAUUCCAGGUGUAGCGGUGAAAUGCGUAGAUAUCUGGAGGAACACCGGUGGCGAAGGCGGCAUCCUGGACCAAUAUUGACGCUGAGGCGCGAAAGCAUGGGGAGCGAACGGG
rnacentral:rRNA from 1 species